ensembl:lncRNA
GAGAAAUAUUUUAGUACUUCUGCUAUUUGACCUCAGCCAAACCAGGAAGUGCAGGGAAGCAUAAAAAUGAGACAAGAUAUUAAAGAGAACAUUUUCGAAAGAGAGCAAUCGGUCAUGUUAUUUGAAUUCCAUAAAUUCUCUCCAAGCCCCAGCUGUGUCCCUGCGCCACUGCCCCCAGCGAGAACUCCCUUCUGGAGCCAAGAAGAAAGGCUGCAGGGGGCCGGGGGCGGGACCUGAGGGGCAGACCAGAACCGCUCGGGACCGUGGUCUCCGCCUGGGAAUCGCCGGCAGGAAUCGCAGAACCCAGGUUCCAAGGCAGGAACCUCGAGGGCCCCACCGUCGCACAGGCAAAGGCAUGAGGCUGGGGCUCCGGGGGUCUGGGCCACUCCGCACAGUCCCCAGCCCACACACACGUGGGCCUGUGAGCACGGGCCGCCCAGAGCAGGCCUGGCCAGAGCAGGCCCGGCCGCAACCAUGACCGCGAAGACCCAGGAGGGCGUGAAGGGGUGGGGGGUGUGGCCCCAGACCCCUCCUUGUGAGCUAGGGGCCGCAGGCGGGAUGCCCCCACGAUGCACCUCAGUUUUCCCCCCAAAUGCCCUGUAAUGGACUGUGUCUCCCCAAGUUCAUGCCAGCAUCCUACCCCCAGAACCUGUGCAUCUGACCUCACUGGAAACAGGUUCCCUGCUGAGGUCACCCAGUGAAAUGACGUCACUGGGGUGGACCCUAAUCCAAUGAUGUGUCCUUAUGAAAUGGGGCCCCGCUCCCCCCAACACCUCACACGCGGCUAACGGCAGGGGACUGCUCUUAGGCUCUGACCGGUCUGCGGACCCCCGCCGGGGCAGACCCUGCUCUGGAAACAACCUGAAAGGAAGCGGCCUUCUCCAGGGCGCCCUCACCUCAGAAUCGUGGGGACCUGGGCCUCGUGGGAACUAGGAACGGGCGACCCUCACUGCGUCAGGCGCCUGCACGGGGCUGGGCCAGGCCCCAUCACGACAGGAGCAAAUCACCAACUCCCGCCUUUAAAAGCAGCCCCAACCCCACGUGGGGUCAGGAUGCUUCCUGCUUCCGCACAUCCAGCCCCCACCACCAGGCAGAAGGGUGGGGACCCGCACAGCCAAGGCACCCAGGCACCCAGAAAGCCUUUCUGAGCAGGGCAGAGGCGGGGGCAGGGGUCUGGGGCUGCUGCCCAGGCGAAAGCUCAGCUCUAAGUCUAAAGUGACACCCCCCAUCCCCGACUCCUGCCUCCUGACACGGCUCUGCUGCCCUUGACCAAGUCCGCGGCUCACAUGGCUGCGUGGCUGUUGUUCUCCUCGUGGCUGCAGUGGUUUUCCAAGAGGGUAAUUCGUGCAGCAAAAUAGUAAAUAAAAAUAAUCACUGUUUAUGCGACGCCCACAGGCUGGCAUGCCCCUGACUCUACCCUACACGCUGACGAUGGCUCUGAGUUUUCACCCUAUCUGUGACACUCCAAAGCCCCUUCUCGCUGUGGCCUCACAGCUCUGGCACCAGCAGUGGGGGCCCCAGCACACUUAGAACCCUAGGAGCCUGGGUUCAACUCCAGCCAGGCUUCUGCAAGUGUCUUCACCGCCUGCAGCUCUCCCGACCCUACGGUCCAGCCAGGGGCAGCCGCUCAUGCAACAUAGGAAGGACACGCAUGGGGCCACAGCUGGGGCUCUGUCCCUGGGUGUCCAGCAUGGCUCACGGCGGGGCGGGGCGGGGGUGGGGCAGCGAGACCACUGAGAAGUGGCCCAUGAGGCCAACAGCAGCUCCUGGGGGGGCACCGGAGACCAGGCCCAGCAAGAAGCCCACGGCCACUCACACACCCGUGCACAGGCGGAGGCCGAUUAUCCAAGAACAAGAGUGGGGAGCGCGUGGAGGAGCUGGGGUGUUGUUGGUGGGGAUGCGAGACGGCGCGGCCGCCGUGGACAUCAGCGCAGUCCCACGAAACACUGAAGGCAGAAUCACGUGAUCCAGCAACCCCACUUCUGGGCACAAACCCAAAAGAACUGAAAUCAGACACCUGCACAGGUACUUGCACAGCGUGUCCAGAGCAGCCUGUGCACACGGCCGAGAGACGCGAGCGGCCGGACCUCCAAAGGCUGGUGGAAAACGCCUCGGGGCCCGUCCACACCGUGGAGGAGUAGCUUAAAAGGGGAGGCGGUUCUGACACCCGCUCCAACGCGGAGGGACCUCGAGGACAUGAUGCUGGUGACACGAGCCAGUCACAAAGGACAAGGACUGCACGAUCCCCCGAGGUGAGGUCCCGGGCGGAUCAGAUUCUUGGAGACAGAAAGCAGAGCGGGGGGGCGGGGGCUGGGGGAGGCGGGCGGAUGACGGAGGUAGUGGUUAAUGGGGACAGGGCUUUGGUUCAGGAAGAUGAAAACGCCCCGGACAGGAUGGUAGUGGCUGCAUUUAAUGCCACUGAGCUGCACACUUGAAAAUGGUUAAAAGGGCAAGUUCAUGUUAAGUGUAUUUGUACCGCAAUAAAAAAUUUUCCUUGGCGUUUCCGUCGUGGCUCAGCAGUUAACCAACCCGACUAGCAUCCGUGAGGACGCAGGCUCCAUCCCUGGCCUCACUCAGUGGGUUAAUAGCAUCAAUAAUCUAAAUUAAUCUUAGAAACUAAAAAAAAGAAAAGCAAAUUAUAAAUCCAAAGCAAGGAGUGCCUGUUGUGGUUCAGAGGGCUAAGAAACCGACUGGGAUCCAUGAGGACACGGGUUCGAUCCCUGGCCUCGCUCAGUGGGUUAACGAUCUGGCGUUGCCAUGAGCUGGGGUGCAGGUCGCAAACGCAGCUUGGAUCUGGCUUCGCUGUGGCUGUGGUGUAGACUGGCAGCUACAGCUCCGAUGGGACCCCUAGCCUGGGAGCCUCCGUAUGCUACAGGUCUGACCCUAAAGAGCAAAUUUAAAAAAAAAAAAUACAAAGAUGGUUCUUCUUUUGUAAAAUCAGCAAUAUUGACAAACCUCUAGCCAGGCGAAUUAAAAAAAUAAAAGAUACAAACUACUAACAUGAAAAAUGAAAGAGGGGGAGUUCCCGUUGUGGCUCAAUGGUAACGAACCCAACUAGUAUCCAUGAGGACACAGGUUCAAUCCCUGGCCCCGCUCAGUGGGUUAAGGAUCCAGUGUUGCCAUGAGCUGUGGUGUAGGUUGCAGACAUGGCUCGGAUCUGGCGUGGCUGUGGCUGGGGUGCAGGCCGGCAGCUGUAGCUCCGAUUAGAACUCUAGCCUGGGAGCCUCCAUAUGCCGCAGAUACGGCCCUAAAAAAGCAAAAAAUUAAAAUAAAAAGAACUAAGAAGAAAGGGGCAAUCUGAAUAAACUUUUAUCUAUUAAAGAAAUUGAAUCAACUACGAAAUAAUCUUCCCAAACAGAAAGUACCAGGCCCAGACAAGUUCAGGGGUGAAUUCCUUCAAACAUUUAAAGAAAAAAUUAUACCAAUUCUCUACAAUCUCUUCAGAGGCAGAGGAAAUACUUUCUGACUCAUUCUGUGAGUCCAGCAUCACCCUAAAACCCAAACCAGAUGAAGACAUUACAAGAAAACCACAGACCCGUGCCCCUUAUGAACAGAGACGCAAAAUCCUCACCAGAUAUUAGCAAAUCAAAUCCAGCAACGUUUAGAAAGACUCAUACACCACGACCAAGUGGCCUUUAUUCCAGGUUUAGAACUCGGUGUUUGAAAAUCAGUUCACACAAUCCAUCACGUCACAGGCUGCACAAAAAAAUGACAUGCUCGUGUCAACAGAAGCAGAAAAAGCAUUUGACCAAUUCCAAGACCAAUUUACCAAGAGAACCAGAAACCAGGAACAGAGGGGAACGGGCUCACUCAGGAACACCGGCCAAACCCCACGGCCACCACCACGCUCACCGCCGAGGAAAGGCCCAGGAAAAGGCAAAGCUGUGCCCUGUCCUCUCCUUUUUCCGCUUCACACCGGGAGCCCUCGCUGACAGCCACAAGACAAGAAAGGAAAUACACAGUGUCUGGCUCAGGAAGGAAGACUGACAGCUGUCCUUAUUCACAGACGACAAGACGCGCCCAACCCCUUCUGGAAUAACGAGCAGGUGCAGCAGGGCCGCGGGACGCAGUUCACACAGAACACGGAGUGGAGGGAGAGGGACCGGCCUCGCGGACUAACUACAAAGCUGCAGCUAACACGGCGGCACCAGGACACAGCGACAGCUCGAUGGGGGGACAGAGCCCAGAAACAGCCCCGCCUGAACUCAACCGAGUGAGGUCUGACAAAGGAGCGAGAGCUCGAGACAGCAGAGGCAACAAGGGGGCCUUGUGUGCAAGGCAGUGAGUCUGGACAGAGACCUCAUGCUGGUCGCGGCAACUGACUCGAAAUGGGUCACAGCGUCCCUAAAACCCCUAGUCGGUAACAUUAGAGGAAACCUAGGUGACCGUGGAUGUGGCGAUGCGUGUGGGGCCUCAUGACACCAAGGGCAGGAUCCCUGAGAGAAAUAACAGCUAAGCUGGACUUCAUGAAAAUCACACACUUCUGGGAGCUCCCUGGUGGCUCAGUGGGUUAAGGACCUGGCACUGCCACUUCGGUAGCGCGGGUCGCUGUUGUGGCGUGGGUUCAAGUCCUAUCCUGGGAACUUCUGCGUGCUGCAGGCCUGGCCAAAAAAUAAAACACGUCUGCUCUGCAAAGACACUGUCAAGAGGAUGAGAAGAGCAGCCACAGACGGAGAAAAACCUCUGUGGGAGAGAGAACUGAGGACUGUCAGGCAAGACAGAAAAAGAACGCCCCGCACAACAGAAAGAACACGAACGGACUCUCUCGGGCAAAAGAGCCGCACAGACCCUUCAGCAAAGACGACGCGCAGGUGGCAGGCGAGUCCCCGCCAGAGCACGGCGUCAGGCGGAGCACCCCAGCUCGACGGCCACCGCGCCAGGCCCGCCACCACACCCAGUGCCCACGAGGACGCGGGGCAGCAACGCCCAUCACCGCUGGCGAGAGCGCAGCACGGUGCCCCCGCCCCGGGAGACAGGCUGGCGGCUCCUUCUCGGCUAAACAGACGCCCGCCGCACAACCCAGCCCCCGUGCUCCUGGGUGCUUACCCAACGGAGCCAAGGUCGAGCGCGCAAAACCCCGCACGCGUGCAGACAGCAGCCCAAACGUGGACGCGACCAGGACGUCCUACAGGAGGGGACGGGGCGCAGCCCGCAGUCCAUCCAGAGGGUGGAGUGCAUUUGAGCAGCAGUGAGAAAUGAGCUGGUUACCCAGUCACGGAAUGACCUGGACGAGCCGUAACCCUACACAGGGAGCGCGCCAACCCGACAAGGCCACGUCCUGGAGGACUCCGACCACGUGGCCCUCUGCCAAAGGUCCGACUACAGAGACAGCGGCUGCCCCGGUGGGGGGAGGGGCGGGGGGACAGGUGAGCCCGGAUUCUCGGAGCAAACAAGGCGAGGACGUCGCGGUGGAGACGCGCCAUGACGUGCUUGUCUAAAGGCGCGGAAGGGACCCCGAUGGAACCGUGGACUCUGGGCGGUGAGGACGCACCACUGAGGUCCAUCAGAUGGGCAGCACUGAGAUGGUGGCCCACCAGACCGCUGUGGUCCAUGCAGAUGGACUCGGGGCUGAGCUCGUGGGGGCAGGAGGCGCGGGCACACUCUGUUUUCCAGCCAACUUUGCUGAGAAGGGAAGAUGCCUCUAACAGCAAAGUCUACGUGAGACAAAUAAACGCGUUAUUCAAGGGAAGUCCUGCAGGAGGAGGAGGCGGAGGAAGGGCAGGUGCCGCCCCAGGGAGGCAGUGGGGAGGCCUGGAGCGGGGCGGAGGGGGCACCCAGGCCUCCGCGUGGACCCUACCCUGGUCAGCAAGCCGCAGAGCUUCCAGCGCCCACCAGCAAGUCCACCCUGAGCCCAUCACCCUCGGGCCCCAGCCCUGGGGAGGCUGGGGGUGGGUCUGCUGGUGUCCCUCCUGGAGCCCUCAGUCCACAUGUAGACCAGGUGACAAGGCAGUGACGUGUCACACACACGCUCCUGGAGCAGAGAGCUGGCUUCCCAGGUAGAAGGGGCUGGAGGGGGGCAAGGAAGUGCCCAUGAAGGGCCCAGACGCAGGGGCAGGGGCAGGGAAGGUCCAGGAGAAGGGCCUUUGAGAGGUGACAGCCGCUGGCUCCCAGGGAACCCAGCAGGAAGAGGCCAAGGAGGCUGCCAUUCCGCCGGUCAACCCUGGGAGCCUGCGGCAGGAUCCGGGGACGGCUCUGCAGCGCCCCUGGUGGCCAGGACUCUGGUCAAAGAGCCUCUAGGGACCCACAGGCCACAGGCCACAGCCUGGUAGGCACCCAUCCCUCCUGUCACCCAGGCCCCUGCUGUGCCCGCACUGUCCUUGAGCUCCCUGGCUGCUCCCGCAGGGCCUCUGCAUGGGCCACUCCCGUCGGGCAGGCUCCUCGCACACAGCUCCCUUCUGAGCUCCCCCUCCUGCCUGGCGUGUGCACGUGCCCCACCAGCCCCUGGCUUGCCUGGUCCUGACCGGCCGCCCUGAGUGCCAUGAGUGCCAGGUCAUGUCCCUGUGUACCCCAGCUGUGGGACACUGCCUGGCGUGAAGCAGACACUCAGCUGUCGUCAACUGGGCUGGACCUCGCCUGGCCUGGUCUGUUGGGCCCCGCUUGGGCCUUCUAUCGUCUCAGAUGUGUGUCCAGAGCCCACGUUCCAGCCCGACCUGAGUCCCGGUCAGGGCCCUCCCGGUCAGGGCUGGCGGCAGCGUGUCGGCUGCCACUGGAUCCCCCCCGGCAGCGGCCCUGCUGGACCGGCCCUCGGGGACUCGGUCCCCUGCAUUUCCAGCAGAGAUGCACCAAAUGCAGAGCAGAGGGACACACAGACGUCGGUUC